rnacentral:rRNA from 1 species
AACGAACGCUGGCGGCAGGCUUAACACAUGCAAGUCGAACGCCCCGCAAGGGGCGUGGCAGACGGGUGAGUAACGCGUGGGAACAUACCCUUUUCUACGGAAUAGCUCUGGGAAACUGGAAUUAAUACCAUAUACGCCCUACGGGGGAAAGAUUUAUCGGGGAAGGAUUGGCCCGCGUUGGAUUAGCUAGUUGGUGGGGUAAAGGCCUACCAAGGCGACGAUCCAUAGCUGGUCUGAGAGGAUGAUCAGCCACAUUGGGACUGAGACACGGCCCAAACUCCUACGGGAGGCAGCAGUGGGGAAUAUUGGACAAUGGGCGCAAGCCUGAUCCAGCCAUGCCGCGUGAGUGAUGAAGGCCUUAGGGUUGUAAAGCUCUUUCACCGAUGAAGAUAAUGACGGUAGUCGGAGAAGAAGCCCCGGCUAACUUCGUG